rnacentral:lncRNA from 1 species
AUGUCUGUUCGUGGUAAAUCCCUGAAAACCUCUGAGGAAGUGGCUCUUCAGAUCAUUUUGCUUUGCCAGUUUGGGGUUGGGACCAUGGCCAAUGACUUUCUGUUUGUCCAUAAUUUCUCUCCAGUCUUGACUGGUUCUAAACAGAGGCCCAGACAGGUGAUUUUAAGCCACAUGGCUGUGGCCAAUGCCUUGACUCUAUUCCUCACUGUAUUUCCAAACAAAAUGAUGGCUUUUGCUCCAAGAAACCCUCCAACUGAACUCAAAUGUAAAUUAAAAUUCUUCAGUCACCUGGUGACAAGAAGCACAAAUUUGUGUUCCACCUGUGUCCUGAGUGUCCAUCAGUUUGUCACUCUGGUUCCUAUUAGUAGAGGUAAACUACUCAGAGCAAGUGUCCCAAAUUUGGUGAGUUAUUCUUGUUACGGUUGUUGGUUUUUCAGUGUCUUAAGUAACAUUCACAUUCCAAUUAAAGUCACUGGUCCACAGAUAACAGACAAUAACACUGACUCUAAAAGCAAGUUUUUCUGUUCCACUUCUGGAUUCACUGUAAGAAUUGUCUUCUUGCAGUUUUCCCAUGAUGCCACAUUCAUGAGCAUCAUGGUCUGGACCAGUGUCUCCAUGGUACUUCUCCUCCAUAGACAUCGCCAGUGA